GGAGCCCGGCCUCUUCUCCUGGGGUGAGCGCGGGCGGCCGGAGCUCGCGGAGCGCCCGCUGGGGGCGGCUCCCAGCCCCCGCUCACAGCCCCGCUCUCUUCCAGAGCCACCCAGCUCCCUGCUGCCUGUCGUCCUCGGGGUGGUCGUCGCUGUGGUCGCCAUCAUCGCGGUGAUCGCCUUCUUUGUGGUCUGCAAGAGCAGAUGGGGUAAAGCGCUGGGGUUGGGGAGGCGGGGGGAGGGAGGCCGUGAGGAGAAGGGGCCCAAGCCGGCGCCCCGGGGCCAGAGCGGAGCCGGGUCGCAAGGGGCCGCGUGGCCUGAUGCCUCUUUCUUCCCGCAGGGAGGAAGGAGAAGGGGUACCUAAUGACCAAAGGUGAGUGCCGGGGCCGCUCCGUCCCAGGCCGCGCCUGGCAGCGGGGUGGCAUUUGCUCUCUGGUUUCUGGCGGCCGCAGGGCUGGCUCGUCCCGUCCCCCGCCUGCCCCCAUCUCCCCUCUUCCACGCCCCGCAGCUUUUCCCUGGCUACGGGGCAGGGAAAGGGUUGGCGUCCCGCCGCUGGAGGCUGAGGCGCCUGGGCGCUGCCCUCUGCUCCUGGCGCCCGUGAGGCAGCUCCAGGGCCGGGUCCCAGCCCGGCAGUCUGCCCCGGCCAGGCUUUGCCCGCAGCCGGCGUGGGGCCCGCAGUGCCGCUGGCACAGGGCCGGGGCUCACUGCUGCUCCUCUCUCGCAGGCCACGACGGGGCAUCCAGCAGCUCUGAAACGGGUAAGGGCUGGUGCUGGGAGCGGGGCGGGGGGUCCCGGCCUGGCACGAUGCCAGGCUGGCUCCAGCCGUGGGGCUGCCGGCUGGCUGCGCGCUGCAGCUGGGUCCCUGGGGGCUUCUGCCUGCUCCCCUGGCUCUGGGAGGGGGGAUUUAGCCCCGCAGCGCAGCUCCCGUGGGGGACGGUGAUGCGGGGCCGGGACCCGCAGGACAGGGCGUGGACGGGGGUGCUGGGACACCCCCCACCCCCUGCACCUCUGCCUUUAUUGAUUUUUCCUCUCUCCUCCCUGCAGGCAGCAAUGCCGCCGUUUAAGCAUUCCGUCCUGGACUUGUCCUGGUGGCUCUCUUCGCACAAGAACACUUUCUGCGGUGGCGCUCUCUGACCAAGAACGCUGUUUUUUUGGUGCAUCUCGUUGCACAGGAACGUUGUUUUUAGGUGUGUCUGUCACCACAACAAUGCUGUUUUCUGACUGUACUGCACUCGAGGUCAGUGAAUUCUCCAGAGCCCCAGCUGCCAUCUGGGCAUCCUUCAAGGCCCGGCCCCGUGGGGCAGCCCCCCACUGGGGUGUGGGGGGGUCCGGCUCCACAGAGCGCGAGGGGGGAGAGCCGGAGGCACCCCCUGUUUGGUCCCGAGGCCCGGCCCCCUCCGGGCUGGAGCGAGUCCUGGUGCUUUCACCCACAGGGCGGCACUGGGUGGUCGGGGGGGAUGGAGCCUGCGCCCGCCCGGGCCGCUUCCUGCUGUCCUGGCCCGGGCGCUGGGGCCCCGGUGAGGACGAGGACGGCGGGCGCCGGGGCAGAGGAGCCCGGGCUCCCGGCCUGCCAGUGGCGCCCGCGGCGAGAGGCAGAGGCUGAGACCAGGCACAGCUCAGCGCAGGCGCCUCCCCCGCCCCCCGCCGCAGCA
ensembl:lncRNA